rnacentral:lncRNA from 1 species
UGAAAUCUAGUGAAAACAUAAAUAAAAUCCAUUUCCAAAAAACAGCCGGGAUAUGAAAAUGGGACAACGACCCUUUUAUCCCGAUUUCAGAUUGCAACCGGGAUAAAAGGAACCCCUUUUAUCCCGAUUGCAAUAUGGAAUCAAGAUAAAAUGGUACUUUUCGGUUCCCGCCUGGAACGUACCCUUUUAUCCUGGGUCCAGUUUGCAACCGGGAUAAAAAGCGGGGGCCUUUUAUCCUGGGUGCUUUGCAACCGGGAUAAAAGGGGUGGCCUUUUAUCUAGAUUUCA